UGUCAUGUUAUCGUACUUGGUUGUUACAACGUGCAAGCUGCAAAUGACAUCUUAAGACAUUAAAAUCAGUUAAAAGUCAUUAAAAUCUUAAUUAGGAAGUAUGACUGAGAUGUUAUAUUUUUAGUUUUGUUCCUUUAAAUAGAUUAUCUUAACUAACCUCCGACGACCAACAACCGACGACCGUCGUCAUCAUGCAUGCGUGAAUCGUGAUCGAUCGAUGAAAUUGAAGAAGCUUUAAUUUCGAUACAGUGCAGUUAAUAAAUUAGUUGUACCAUUCAUACAGUGAGACUGUAGAGACUAAGAUGGAGGUCCCGCGACAUGGUCGGUGGUGGUGUCCUGCCGCCGCCCACCUUACCAGUUAGUUACCGGACAGAUUGUUUAUUGAAUAUAUACUGGAAAAAAAAUGUUUGCUUUAUUGUUUUCACAUGGAAGAAAUAGCUAGCUAGUAGCUAGACUCCAGUCCGCACUGACAUUACUUGGAUUUAACUUCCGACUAACUUCCAAGUGCAACAAACCAUAUUCGAAUGGCGGUGUCGGCAAUAGACUAGUUUGAUAUCAAAAAUAAGAUAUUUGAUGUUUUUUACGAAUAAUAAGACAAACGAUAUUUUAUUUUUAGAAAGGUGCAAUCGAUUAUGAAAAAAAUCACCAUUCAACAGUCUACGGCGGAUCUAGCUGGCUGUAGUAGAGUAGAACCCGUCUUACACGGCUGCUACACGUUAUGGUACUGAUCACAUCACAUGGCCGGAUUUAAGAUUGACCAAUUCAGUUUGUUUGUUGUGUACAGUUGAAAGUCGUUAGUUGGUUGGUUGGUUGAAGAAGAUCGAACAUGUGAUUAGGAGAUAAUCUGAAGUCGACAGCACAUGUUGUUCUUGUGUUUCACUUUCUGCGCCUCCAUGGACCUGAAACAAAAGGCCAAAAUCUUCCAUGUGUUUUUUCAAUUUUUCAGUGUAGUCAGAUUGUG
rnacentral:lncRNA from 1 species